GAUGAACGCUGGCGGCGUGCCUAAUACAUGCAAGUAGAACGCUGAAGGAAGGAGCUUGCUCUUUCCGGAUGAGUUGCGAACGGGUGAGUAACGCGUAGGUAACCUGCCUGGUAGCGGGGGAUAACUAUUGGAAACGAUAGCUAAUACCGCAUAACAGUAGAUGUUGCAUGAUAUCUACUUAAAAGGUGCAAUUGCACCACUACCAGAUGGACCUGCGUUGUAUUAGCUAGUUGGUGAGGUAACGGCUCACCAAGGCGACGAUACAUAGCCGACCUGAGAGGGUGGUCGGCCACACUGGGACUGAGACACGGCCCAGACUCCUACGGGAGGCAGCAGUAGGGAAUCUUCGGCAAUGGACGGAAGUCUGACCGAGCAACGCCUCGUGAGUGAAGAAGGUUUUCGGAUCGUAAAGCUCUGUUGUAAGAGAAGAACGAGUGUGAGAGUGGAAAGUUCACACUGUGACGGUAUCUUACCAGAAAGGGACGGCUAACUACGUG
rnacentral:rRNA from 1 species